ACUUACAGCCAUACCACCCUGAACACGCCCGAUCUCGUCCGCUCUCGCAAGCUAAGCAGGGUCGGGCCUGGUUAGUACUUGGAAGGGAGACCGCCUGGUGUUGUAAGCU
rnacentral:rRNA from 1 species